ACCCUCUUAGGGUUGCACCUGGAGAGUGUCCAGUACUCUUCCGGCCUCAACUACAGGAGGGAGAGUCAAGCAGAGGCCUACCCAUUCCAUUCCUGGCUUGGUCAGUGGCUAGCGAGUGGAAGGCAAUCUGCUACAAGC